rnacentral:rRNA from 1 species
CUGAAUCAGUGUGUGUGUUAGUGGAAGCGUCUGGAAAGGCGCGCGAUACAGGGUGACAGCCCCGUACACAAAAAUGCACAUGCUGUGAGCUCGAUGAGUAGGGCGGGACACGUGGUAUCCUGUCUGAAUAUGGGGGGACCAUCCUCCAAGGCUAAAUACUCCUGACUGACCGAUAGUGAACCAGUACCGUGAGGGAAAGGCGAAAAGAACCCCGGCGAGGGGAGUGAAAAAGAACCUGAAACCGUGUACGUACAAGCAGUGGGAGCCUCUUUAUGGGGUGACUGCGUACCUUUUGUAUAAUGGGUCAGCGACUUAUAUUCUGUAGCAAGGUUAACCGAAUAGGGGAGCCGAAGGGAAACCGAGUCUUAACUGGGCGUUAAGUUGCAGGGUAUAGACCCGAAACCCGGUGAUCUAGCCAUGGGCAGGUUGAAGGUUGGGUAACACUAACUGGAGGACCGAACCGACUAAUGUUGAAAAAUUAGCGGAUGACUUGUGGCUGGGGGUGAAAGGCCAAUCAAACCGGGAGAUAGCUGGUUCUCCCCGAAAGCUAUUUAGGUAGCGCCUCGUGAAUUCAUCUCCGGGGGUAGAGCACUGUUUCGGCAAGGGGGUCAUCCCGACUUACCAACCCGAUGCAAACUGCGAAUACCGGAGAAUGUUAUCACGGGAGACACACGGCGGGUGCUAACGUCCGUCGUGAAGAGGGAAACAACCCAGACCGCCAGCUAAGGUCCCAAAGUCAUGGUUAAGUGGGAAACGAUGUGGGAAGGCCCAGACAGCCAGGAUGUUGGCUUAGAAGCAGCCAUCAUUUAAAGAAAGCGUAAUAGCUCACUGGUCGAGUCGGCCUGCGCGGAAGAUGUAACGGGGCUAAACCAUG